rnacentral:misc_RNA from 1 species
UCUCCGUUGGUGAACCAGCGGAGGGAUCAUUACCGAGUUUACAACUCCCAAACCCCUGUGAACAUACCAUUUGUUGCCUCGGCGGUGCCUGCUUCGGCAGCCCGCCAGAGGACCCAAACCCUUGAUUUUAUACAGUAUCUUCUGAGUAAAUGAUUAAAUAAAUCAAAACUUCCAACAACGGAUCUCUUGGUUCUG